rnacentral:rRNA from 1 species
ACACGGACCAAGGAGUGCAAGAGGCGUGCGAGUCUUUGGGUUGUUGCCAAACCCGCGGGCGUAAUGAAAGUGAAGGGAGCACCUUGCUUCCGAGGCGAGAGCCCGCAGCGCUGCGGGCGCAUCGUCGACCGAUCCCGGGCUACGCUGUGGCGGGAUUCGAGUGAGAGCGUGCCUGUUGCGACCCGAAAGAUGGUGAACUAUGCCUGAAUGGGGCGAAGCCAGAGGAAACUCUGGUGGAAGCUCGCAGCGGUUCUGACGUGCAAAUCGAUCGUCAAAUUUGGGUAUAGGGGCGAAAGACUAAUCGAACCGUCUAGUAGCUGGUUCCCUCCGAAGUUUCCCCCAGGAUAGCUGGAGCCCGGUGCAGUUUUAUCAGGUAAAGCGAAUGAUUAGAGGUCUUGGGGUUGAAACAACCUCAACCUAUUCUCAAACUUUAAAUGGGUAAGAAGCUCGGCUUGCUCGGUUGAAGUCGGGCGUGGGAAUGCCGGGGCUCCUAGUGGGCCAUUUUUGGUAAGCAGAACUGGCGAUGCGGGAUGAACCGAACGCCGGGUUAAGGUGCCGGAAUCGACGCUCAUCAGAUCCCAUAAAAGGUGUUGGUUGAUUCAGACAGCAGGACGGUGGCCAUGGAAGUCGGAAUCCGCUAAGGAGUGUGUAACAACU